GCCUCUCCCAUUUCAGACGAGUGUCUUCUUCAUCUCCAUUCAUUGGGAAUUGCUUAAAUCCCCACAAAGAAGCUUAAAAUUACCAAGGAAUCAAACCAACAACCACUACAAGCAGGUGAAUUUUCCAGCCCGGAAGAAGGUCAAUGUUGCAUGCAAUCUCAGUUCCUAGCACCUGUAUCUCAUACCGAAGGAGCCCUGUUAUACGGAGAUGUGUAAUUUCCACCAAGCGUAGGGUAUCUGCUUCAUUGCCUGAUCCUGAUGAAGUUAAAUUGGAGUAUACACCGUGGCUUAUUGUUGGAUUGGGAAAUCCUGGAAAUAAAUAUCACGGAACCAGGCACAAUGUUGGCUUUGAAAUGAUCGAUCAUAUUUCUCAAAAAGAAGGCAUUUCUAUGAAUACAAUACAGUCAAAGGCCUUAAUUGGAAUAGGUUCCAUUGGAGAGGUACCCGUUUUAUUGGCAAAGCCUCAAGCAUAUAUGAAUUUCAGUGGAGAAUCAGUGGGACCACUUGCUUCAUAUUAUCAAGUGCCUCUGCGUCAUAUCUUAGUGGUUUAUGAUGAGAUGAGCUUGCCAAAUGGAGUCAUGAGGCUUCAACCAAGAGGAGGACAUGGCCAUCAUAAUGGGCUGAAGAGUGUCAUGGAUCAUUUGGAUGGUUCCCGCAAUUUUCCUCGCUUGUGCAUCGGUAUUGGGAACCCUCCAGGGACAAUGGACCUGAAAGCUUUUCUUCUCCAGAAGUUCAGUUCACAAGAGCGUAAGCAGGGUUGAAUGCAGGACAUAAUUGGACUGAAAGCCACAGUCGCAGCAGCAACAGCCCCAUGCUGUAGCAGCACUACCUUACUAGCACUGAAAGGAGGAAGAGUAGAUUGAAAAAAGGAAGACCGGGAAGGAGAAGGAAGACACAGGAAAAAGAAAAAAUGAGAAGAGUGGACGUUGCUCUAGAACAAGGGGUGGAUGCCGCGAUGACUCUAGUACUCAAAGGCUUCGACAGCUACAUCAACCGAUUCAAUCUGGGGCAGAAGUACAAGUAUCACAAAGUUUGAAAAGAGACCCAUCAAUCUUGUGGCCUAUCAAAUGAUCAGCUAAUGAACAGUGCCAUCAAAUGUUUGGACAAGAUCCAUAUAUCUAUGUAACUGCAGGUAUGUCUCUAACAGGUGAAAUGUACAAGAUACAUAUCUCAUAUCACAAGAUCUGCGAUCCAAAAAGUAGAAAUGAUAUGAUGGAGAUGUCUCUGACAUGAUAUAAUAGAGCCUGCUUCCACCGCCUGCAUGAAAGGGGAAUGGUGGAUCUGGGCCAUCCACCUAGUAGGCUCUGCUAUGAAUAGCGUGUGUUUGGAAACCAUUCCAUUAAGAUCCUAUUAAUCACUUUCAGUCGCCUUGCUUGAGCCAUUUGGGAAGCUAGAAAUGGUUGGAAAUGAAAUCAAUUUCUGUGGA